rnacentral:misc_RNA from 1 species
GAUGAAGAACGUAGCGAAAUGCGAUAAGUAAUGUGAAUUGCAGAAUUCAGUGAAUCAUCGAAUCUUUGAACGCACAUUGCGCCCGCCAGUAUUCUGGCGGGCAUGCCUGUUCGAGCGUCAUUUCAACCAUCAAGCCCUCGGCUUGUGUUGGGGACCUGCGGCUGCCGCAGGCCCUGAAAAGCAGUGGCGGGCUCGCUGUCACACCGAGCGUAGUAGCAUACAUCUCGCUCUGGGCGUGCUGCGGGUUCCGGCCGUUAAACCACCUUCAUAACCCAAGGUUGACCUCGGAUCAGGUAGGAAGACCCGCUGAACUUAAGCAUAUCAAUAAGCGGAGGA